UGUGCCGGAAGGGGGGGAGCCUGGCUGCACCUCUCCUAGACCUGUUUAAGAGCUGACUGCCAGUAGGAAAAGGUCUGUUUUUGGAGAUCCCUCAUUUUGAAGUUUUCCAGUGAGCCCAGGGCAAUGGUAAGCCCUUUGUCUAUUCUUUUUUUGGUGUAAUAACCUGCUUAGCCAUGCUCUCUUGUAUAUUUCUUAAUUAUAGCAUCUGUGCAUUCAUUGAUUAUACAGCAGACCAAUCUGGAAUAUAUGGCAUAUCUCCUGUGGCAGCGCGUAGUAAGAAGAAAAGGCUGAUAGAAUGUUAGGACUGCUCAGCAUUUAGUGCUUCAUUCCUUGCUGCAGUAAGUCCUUAAACACAGCUCACGUUUCCUGGUGAGGAUGUGGACACAACUGAGCGCAGUUGGGAUCUUUCUUCAAAUCGUCAUUCUGCAGCUUGGUGACUAUUUUUAAACUCAAGAUGUAUGUAAUGAUUCUUUCAAAAAGGAGCUUUUUACAUUUAAUUGCACAUGAAUUCAUAUAGGGUAGAAUCAGAACCUAGGAUUUAUCUUGUUUAUUUUGCAUUCCUUUGCAUUUUUGAAGACAGGUUGCAGAGAGCAGCCUGAAAACACAUAACAAAUAUUUUUCCUAAGGAUUACAGCUGACGAAACACAGUUAUGACUUAGUGCCACAUGGCUGACUUUGCCUACUUGAUAAAAGAUGUCUGCACAUUUAACAAGUCUCUCUCCCAUUCUACUUUUCUGGUGCCUAAUACUGCAUGGACUUUAUUGGCCUCCAUGCCUCCAGUUAUCAGCAUUACCUUGUGUCUUUUAAUGUAAGGCCUCCUUCCUUAUCUUUUCAACCUCUGCUCUCUGACAAAGUUUUCAGGUGUGGUCAGACCUUCAAGCACACAGUGUGACUGGACAGGACUCCUUCCUGUUAAGAAACUCAUCAACGAUUGUGCUUGGGUUUUGCAUGCUGCAGGAGUGUGAAUGUAGAGAGAAGGCUUAGCCACAAGGGAGUUUGCUCUGAAAUGUUUAAAAGGAGACUGAUACAAGCAAACCAGCCUCGAGGAGAAAGCUGAACCCUUUGGAAGAACUAAAAGAGUUUGUCCUUGUAGCAAGUCAGAGCUGCAUCACUGUUUUCUGUUCACCAGAAAGCAUUUUAGACUUGCUUUGUGCAAUACCUUCAUGGGAGCACGUGGCUUCCUGUCUUUGUGCAACAACUUCAUCCCUGUUUGAAGCUGGAUUAAAAACAUGGCUCAGUCAUUCAGAUCAGAAUGAGAUUGUUUUACAGAACAAAUCAUGAUUAUGAUUAUGAUUUGAAGAUGAAACAGUCCUCCCACAAGUGAAAUAUGGGAUGGACUGCUCCGGGAGCUUGUUAACAUGGGAAGGAUGUACCCAAAGACAUGUAGAGAAACAAUGGGGAAGGCUGAAAAUAGAAGGUAGACCUUAUAAACUUGUUCGGGUCAUGACAUCUCCCUAGACAAAAUCUCUGGAAGAUACAGGUGUACCUAGAAAUGAGAACCAUGAACAGCUGGGUUCCAGUGCUGUCACAGAAGUUGCAUGCACAAAACUUCACCUGCUCACAUGCAGCACAAGCACUGCUUGCUGUCAGGAGAUCACAGCACAUGAAUAAUGAGUGAGGGGACCCUGAUAAAACCCUAAGACUGAUGGCUAUGAGAGAUGAGGGUGGCUGAGG